UACGGGGGGGGCAAGCGUUGUUCGGAAUUACUGGGCGUAAAGGGCUCGUAGGCGGCCAACUAAGUCGGAUGUGAAAUCCCCAGGCUCAACCUGGAACUGCAUCCGAUACUGGAUGGCUUGAAUCCGGGAGAGGGAUGCAGAAUUCCAGGUGUAGCGGUGAAAUGCGUAGAUAUCUGGAGGAAUACCGGUGGCGAAGGCGGCAUCCUGGACCGACAUUGACGCUGAGGAGCGAAAGCUAGGGGAGCAAACGGG
rnacentral:rRNA from 1 species